rnacentral:rRNA from 1 species
GACGAACGCUGGCGGCGUGCUUAACACAUGCAAGUCGAACGGAAAGGCCCUGCUUGCAGGGUACUCGAGUGGCGAACGGGUGAGUAACACGUGGGUGAUCUGCCCUGCACUUCGGGAUAAGCCUGGGAAACUGGGUCUAAUACCGGAUAGGAGCCAUUUUUAGUGUGAUGGUUGGAAAGUUUUUUUCGGUGUAGGAUGAGCUCGCGGCCUAUCAGCUUGUUGGUGGGGUAAUGGCCUACCAAGGCGGCGACGGGUAGCCGGCCUGAGAGGGUGGACGGCCACAGUGGGACUGAGAUACGGCCCAGACUCCUACGGGAGGCAGCAGUGGGGCAUAUGGCACAAUGGGCGCAAGCCUGAUGCAGCGACGCCGCGUGAGGGAUGACUGCCUUCGGGUUGUAAACUCCUUGCGCUAGGGAAGAAGCGUUUUGUGACGGUACCUAGAUAAGAAGCACCGGCUAACUACGUG